CCCCUGAAGCCUGCCCUGCAUGCUAAACUCAAAGGCACUAGUCCCCUGCAGGAAGAAGUGCAAGUACGCUUGGAAGAAAAUACCAGCUGGUGGUAUGUUUGUGGUUUCAAGAAUUUGAAGAUUAAGAUCCAUACUGCCAGCUUGAAAGUAAAAAAUGAAGACUGAAGAUACCUACUAAAAUUUCUUAACAAUCAAAUUUUGAUCAUCAAGGAUUUUAUUGCUGUUGUUUUUGUUGUUGUUAAG